CGGAGGGUGCAAGCGUUAUCCGGAUUCACUGGGUUUAAAGGGUGCGUAGGCGGAAUGGAGAGUCCGUUGUGAAAUCUCUGAGCUUAACUCGGAAAUUGCGGUGGAUACUAUCAUUCUUGAAUACUGUGGAGGUUAGCGGAAUAUGUCAUGUAGCGGUGAAAUGCAUAGAUAUGACAUAGAACACCAAUUGCGAAGGCAGCUGGCUACACAGAUAUUGACGCUGAGGCACGAAAGCGUGGGGAUCAAACAGGAUUAGAUACCCUGGUAGUCCACGCCCUAAACGAUGAUUACUCGACAUUUGCGAUACACAGCAAGUGUCUGAGCGAAAGCAUUAAGUAAUCCACCUGGGAAGUACGACCGCAAGGUUG
rnacentral:rRNA from 1 species